AUUGAACGCUGGCGGCAGGCCUAACACAUGCAAGUCGAGCGGAUGAAGGGAGCUUGCUCCUGGAUUCAGCGGCGGACGGGUGAGUAAUGCCUAGGAAUCUGCCUGGUAGUGGGGGAUAACGUCCGGAAACGGGCGCUAAUACCGCAUACGUCCUGAGGGAGAAAGUGGGGGAUCUUCGGACCUCACGCUAUCAGAUGAGCCUAGGUCGGAUUAGCUAGUUGGUGGGGUAAAGGCCUACCAAGGCGACGAUCCGUAACUGGUCUGAGAGGAUGAUCAGUCACACUGGAACUGAGACACGGUCCAUACUCCUACGGUAGGCAGCAGUGGGGAAUAUUGGGCAAUGGGCGAAAGCCUGAUCCAGCCAUGCCGCGUGUGUGAAGAAGGUCUUCGGAUUGUAAAGCACUUUAAGUUGGGAGGAAGGGCAGUAAGUUAAUACCUUGCUGUUUUGACGUUACCAACAGAAUAAGCACCGGCUAACUUCGUG
rnacentral:rRNA from 1 species